rnacentral:rRNA from 1 species
CCAGACUCCUACGGGAGGCAGCAGUGGGGAAUAUUGCACAAUGGGGGAAACCCUGAUGCAGCGACGCCGCGUGAGCGAUGAAGUAUUUCGGUAUGUAAAGCUCUAUCAGCAGGGAAGAAAAUGACGGUACCUGACUAAGAAGCCCCGGCUAACUACGUGCCAGCAGCCGCGGUAAUACGUAGGGGGCAAGCGUUAUCCGGAUUUACUGGGUGUAAAGGGAGCGUAGACGGCGGUGCAAGCCAGAUGUGAAAGCCCGGGGCUCAACCCCGGGACUGCAUUUGGAACUGUGCUGCUAGAGUGUCGGAGAGGCAGGCGGAAUUCCUGGUGUAGCGGUGAAAUGCGUAGAUAUCAGGAGGAACACCGGUGGCGAAGGCGGCCUGCUGGACUGCAACUGACGUUGAGGCCCGAAAGCGUGGGGAGCAAACAGGAUUAGAUACCCCGGUAGC